rnacentral:rRNA from 1 species
GUAACGGCGAGUGAAGCGGCAACAGCUCAAAUUUGAAAUCUGGCCCCCCCCGCGGGGGUCCGAGUUGUAAUUUGCAGAGGAUGCUUUGGGCGAGGCGCCUUCCGAGUGCCCUGGAACGGGACGCCGCAGCGGGUGAGAGCCCCCUACGGUCGGCUGCCGAGCCUCUGUAAAGCUCCCUCGACGAGUCGAGUAGUUUGGGAAUGCUGCUCUAAGUGGGAGGUACACCCCUUCUAAAGCUAAAUACCCGCCAGAGACCGAUAGCGCACAAGUAGAGUGAUCGAAAGAUGAAAAGCACUUUGAAAAGAGAGUUAAACAGCACGUGAAAUUGUUGAAAGGGAAGCGCUUGUGGCCAGACUCGGGCCCGGCGGCUCAGCCGUCCCUCGCGGGCGGUGCACUCUGCCGGGCCUGGGCCAGCAUCAGCUCGCGGCGGGGGAAAAGGGCGGUGGGAACGUGGCUCUUCGGAGUGUUAUAGCCCGCCGCUACGCCCUGCCGCGGGCUGAGGUUCGCGCUCCGCAAGGAUGCUGGCGUAAUGGCCAUCAGCGACCCGUCUUGAAACACGGACCAAGGAGUCGUCCUAGCAUGCGAGUGUUCGGGUGCAAAGCCCCUACGCGCAAUGAAAGUGAACGCAGGUGAGAGCUACGGCGCAUCACCGACCGAUCCUGAUGUUCUCGGAUGGAUUUGAGUACGAGCAUGCUGGGCCGGACCCGAAAGAAGGUGAACUAUGCUUGGAUAGGGCAAAGCCAGAGGAAACUCUGGUGGAGGCUCGCAGCGGUUCUGACGUGCAAAUCGAUCGUCAAAUCUGAGCAUGGGGGCGAAAGACUAAUCGAACCUUCUAGUAGCUGGUUUCCGCCGAAGUUUCCCUCAGGAUAGCAGUGUUGCGCCUCCAGUUUUAUGAGGUAAAGCGAAUGAUUAGGGACUCGGGGGCGCUAUUUAGCCUUCAUCCAUUCUCAAACUUUGAAUGCGUAAGAAGCCCUCGUUGCUUCGGUG